rnacentral:lncRNA from 1 species
CUCUUUCAUUCACUUUCAUAUUUAAGCGAGUUUCGUAGAAAAGUCUGACGCCCCCCCCUCGAAUUGAAUUUUCAAAGAUCCAUUCUAAAUCGAAAUGGGAAAGCCUCCCCAUUCCUAUCUUUUUAGAAUCCCAAUUAUUCUCUUUUCAUUUCGGAAUUCUAAACAAGAGGGUAUUCCUGGUACUGAUUGAAUUCGGGAUUAAGUCUCUUAAGUAAGACUAGGUUAGAUUAAAAUAAAAAACAACAAAUUAGAAAGGAAACAAUGACUUAAUCUGGGCCCUUUUGUCUUUGUAUCUAUACAAAAUAGUCUAGCAUUCCGUAAAAUGGGAUCUUUUUUUUUUUUUAUUUAUUUAGGAUUCCCACAGAAAGAAUUCGGGGUGGGAGUAGGUAAGAGUUAGUGAGCAAUGAAAGAUACCGAUUUGAAUAUCGGUGUCGGUCCAAAUUUCAUUAACCAAUAAUCCCGCUCUAUAUGGAAUGGAGGCUCUUUGAUUCUAACCCAAAUUUUGCGGUCUUGGUCUUUUUUUAAUGAAUAAUUGUAAAUCUCUGGAAUAACAAUUGAGACGGGGGUUAUUCAUAUAGUCUAUUUACUUGAAUUUUAUACUAUUUACUUUAUUUUCUAUUUUAUUUAUUUUAUUUUGAAUUUGGGGAAAGAUUAUUGAAUCUG